UACGAGGGGGGCAAGCGUUGUUCGGAAUUAUUGGGCGUAAAGGGCUCGUAGGCGGUUUGUCGCGUCGGGAGUGAAAACCCAGGGCUUAACCCUGGGCUGGCUUUCGAUACGGGCAGACUAGAGGUAUGCAGGGGAGAACGGAAUUCCUGGUGUAGCGGUGAAAUGCGCAGAUAUCAGGAGGAACACCGGUGGCGAAGGCGGUUCUCUGGGCAUUACCUGACGCUGAGGAGCGAAAGUGUGGGGAGCGAACAGG
rnacentral:rRNA from 1 species